CACUAGCUAGAAUACUAGUCUUGUUAUAAAUUUCACUAAGAGAUUCAAAUUCCCUUCAGGGUCUUGGGCUUAAGCUAGCCUUUGUACCAACUGCUGUGCGACAGCAUUCUACACUAAUGAGAUAAGGCAACUGGGCUCAAACACAAGCCCAAGCGAGGCUGAAACAAACGAGUGAAUUCAUUAACUCAAUAGAGAGCCCAAUUCACUGUAAAUUUAUUAUUACAUAAGCAUCAAAAUAGACCUACAACUACUAAAAAAACUAAUACAGCUGUAGAUUAUCUAAAAUAUGACAUAUUCAUAUAAUAACCAUUCACUCCUUGUACAGCACACUACUAGUUAAUAUUACAACAGAAAUUUAAUGAACUAACAGGCAUGGUACUUUAAAUGCGAUGCAUUGCUGAUACGUAAUUUCAUACAAUAUCAAAAAUUGAUUCCAAGUUCAACACCCCCAUUACAUUAUUUGGAACCUAUCGAAUCGCAAAUUCAUAGAUUGAAUCAUGACUCCUCAAGGACACAAAUGCCCUGCCUUGCUUGGAUAAUAAGUAUGCACUAGAUAAAUAAGAUAUACAAUUCAGAUUCCAAAGGUAGAUGUGAGUCAAAUAUGAAACCAACUUCAAUCACAUCUAUGUAGAAUAAUAAAUAUAAAAAACAGGAAGCAUAUCUCAAUUCCCAUAUAAACAAGGGGAUAUUAACCCAUAUUACUGACCUCCUCCAACCUAUAUUUAAUAGCCUAAAGGCAAACUCAGACCAACUACACUUAAACCAGUCCAAUUACUGACCUCACAACAAACAAAUAGCAAAACUGGAUAUAGGUUAAGAGACCUAAAACUAAGCUACAUGCUACUCAGGGCUAAGUCUGUGAUUAUAUUGCUCAAGGUUGAGGAGACGGUACAUGGACCUCAUAAAAUAAACAAAACAAGCAAAUACACUAAUAUUAUCAAUCCAAAUGAAAGUGAAGAUGGCUCAAAACUUCAUAUUCCAUUUCCAUAACCAAAUCAAGCUUUCCGUUCAAAGGGAGGGCAUGAAUGUAUACCUGGGAAAGAAAAAAGCAAAAUGAAAGGUAGAGGAUCAACAGAGCAAAGCAAUAUCAGCAGGUUCAAGCAAUAGAAACCAACAGUAGCAACCAGAGAUCAGUCAAAAACCUAACAGAAUUGCAGUAUUCACACAACUUGAACCAUAAACUUUCAGAAAAAAACCAAUAUCAACCCAUACUUAAACUCAAAUCAACCAGAAAGUAUUUCACAGUCUGAAAAUUUUCAGAAAAAUCGGUCUAUAGAUUAAUAUAACAGUAGUGUCUCAAUUUUCUGUUGUUUUAGGAAUUUUUUCUUAUUUCGAGAUCCUCUUCUCUUUUCUCAUCUUCAAGUAAGAAUGCCUUUAUAGGCAAGUUACUAACGCAACUUCAGGUUUUGUUUUUUCCCUUUUAGACCUUUCUACAGUUUUCUUUUGCUAGUUAGUCCUUUAUUUUAUGACUUGCUACCCAAGUUACACUACCUAAAAGCUGAAAUUCAAAUUAACACCCUAACCUAGAAGCUUCUUAUUUCAAUUAUGCAGAGAUUCUCUAAGUGCAUUGCCCUAAGUACCCUUGAAAUUACUGAAAAUUAUUUUGAGAACCAAAUGAACAACAACCGGGCCUCUUUGAAUUGGGUCACAAAUGACUCAAAGGGCCCAAGCUAAUUUGAAAUCAGUCAUUUCUGAUCCAAGCCUUACCAACACCAAUUGACAAAAAACAGGUACUAAAUCUGACCAUUGAAUCAACACUUAAGGAAAUAACAGAUCACUAAUAGCAAAAUUAACAAAAUGGAAACAAGAUUACUGAUGAAUUCAUGCUCUUUAAUUUUACUAACUAGUAAGAUGAAACAAAGUAAAGAAACAAAAAGCACAUUAAGAACCAAAUCAUUCUGAUUCCACAACAAUGAGCCUACCUUUACUACCUAAACGAUUGAACUGAUUUAGCAAAUAAAAUCACAACCCAAAGGGACUCAAAAGUUCAGAUAGUUCAAUUCAAAAAGAAAAGAAAAUGGUCUGGUUCUUUCCAAAAUGCCUUAACCUACUCCGUCUACCCAGAGAAGGGGUGAGGAAGAAAAUGAGCCAGAAAAAAUCAAAAGAGGGGAGGAGAACUUAC
rnacentral:lncRNA from 1 species